GUCCUCAUAGCUCAAUUGGAAGAGCACGUCCCUUCUAAGGAUGUGGUUCUAGGUUCGAAUCCUAGUGGGGAUG
rnacentral:tRNA from 1 species